UUUCCGGGUUGAUCCCGCCGGGACUGACUGCUAUCGGAUUGAUACUAAGCCAUGUGAGUCAUUGUAGCAAUACAAGGCAGACGGCUCAGUAACACGUAGCCAAUCUACCCUAUGGACGGGGAUAACCUCGGGAAACUGAGGAUAAACCCCGAUAGAUCAUUAUGCCUGGAAAGGUUUAUGGUUAAAAUGAUUCGUCGCCGUAGGAUGGGACUGCGGCCUAUCAGCUUGUUGGUGAGGUAAUGGCCCACCAAGGCUAUUACAGGUACGGGCUCUGAGAGGAGAAGCCCGGAGAUGGGUACUGAGACACGGACCCAGGCCCUAUGGGGCGCAGCAGGCGAGAAAACUUUGCAAUGUGCGCAAGCACGACAAGGUUAAUCCGAGUGUUUCCUGCUAAAGGAAUCUUUUGUUAGUCCUAAAAACACUAGCGAAUAAGGGGUGGGCAAGUUCUGGUGUCAGCCGCCGCGGUAAAACCAGCACCUCAAGUGGUCAGGAGGAUUAUUGGGCCUAAAGCAUCCGUAGCCUGCUCUGUAAGUUUCCGGUUAAAUCCAUUAGCUCAACUGAUGGGCCGCCGGAAAAACUGCAAAGCUAGGGAGUGGGAGAGGUAGACGGUACUCGGUAGGAAGGGGUAAAAACCUUUGAUCUAUUGAUGACCACCUGUGGCGAAGGCGGUCUACCAGAACACGUUCGACGGUGAGGGAUGAAAGCUGGGGGAGCAAACCGGAUUAGAUACCCGGGUAGUCCCAGCUGUAAACGAUGCAGACUCGGUGAUGCCCUGGCUUGUGGCCAGUGCAGUGCCGCAGGGAAGCCGUUAAGUUUGCCGCCUGGGAAGUACGUACGCAAGUAUGAAACUUAAAGGAAUUGGCGGGGGAGCACCACAAGGGGUGAAGCCUGCGGUUCAAUUGGAUUCAACGCCGGG
rnacentral:rRNA from 1 species